UGGGGAAUCUUGCGCAAUGCGCGAAAGCGUGACGCAGCAACACCGCGUGAGGGAAGACGGCCUUCGGGUUGUAAACCUCUUUCAGGAGGGACGAAGGACGGCCGGUGAAUAGCCGUGUCGUCUGACGGUACCUCCAGAAGAAGCUCCGGCUAACUACGUGCCAGCAGCCGCGGUAAUACGUAGGGAGCAAGCGUUGUCCGGAAUCAUUGGGCGUAAAGCGCGCGUAGGCGGCCCGAUAAGUCCGCUGUGAAAGUCAACGGCUCAACUGUUGGAUGCCGGUGGAUACUGUCGGGCUAGAGUACGGAAGAGGCAAGUGGAAUUCCUGGUGUAGCGGUGGAAUGCGCAGAUAUCAGGAGGAACACCUAUAGCGAAGGCAGCUUGCUGGGACGUUACUGACGCUAAGGCGCGAAAGCGUGGGGAGCGAACAG
rnacentral:rRNA from 1 species